GCCGGAAUGGCGGAACGGUAGACGCUGCAGACUUAAAAUCUGCUGCCCGUGAGGGCGUGCGGGUUCGAGCCCCGCUUCCGGCACCA
rnacentral:tRNA from 1 species